GUCGAGGGGUAUGCUUCUUCGGGAGCAGAGACCGGCGCACGGGUGCGUAACGCGUAUGCAAUCUACCUUUCACAGAGGGAUAGCCCAGAGAAAUUUGGAUUAAUACCUCAUAGUAUAGCAGUUUCGCAUGAAACCACUAUUAAAGUCACAACGGUGAAAGAUGAGCAUGCGUCCCAUUAGCUAGUUGGUAAGGUAACGGCUUACCAAGGCAACGAUGGGUAGGGGUCCUGAGAGGGAGAUCCCCCACACUGGUACUGAGACACGGACCAGACUCCUACGGGAGGCAGCAGUGAGGAAUAUUGGACAAUGGGCGCAAGCCUGAUCCAGCCAUGCCGCGUGCAGGAUGACGGUCCUAUGGAUUGUAAACUGCUUUUAUACGAGAAGAAACCCUCCGACGUGUCGGAGCUUGACGGUAUCGUAAGAAUAAGGAUCGGCUAACUCCGUGCCAGCAGCCGCGGUAAUACGGAGGAUCCAAGCGUUAUCCGGAAUCAUUGGGUUUAAAGGGUCCGUAGGCGGUCAGGUAAGUCAGUGGUGAAAGCCCAUCGCUCAACGGUGGAACGGCCAUUGAUACUGUCUGACUUGAAUUAUUAGGAAGUAACUAGAAUAUGUAGUGUAGCGGUGAAAUGCUUAGAGAUUACAUGGAAUACCAAUUGCGAAGGCAGGUUACU
rnacentral:rRNA from 1 species